rnacentral:lncRNA from 1 species
GUUUAACUGGGCCAGGAAGAGCCAAAAUGAGAGUGUUUUUCAAUAACUCUCUCUAUCAUCAACCAAGAUGGACAAGAAGGGGAGAGUGAGUUCAUGAAACCCAGGAAAGUGGUGCUUGUCCUGGCUGGAUUCUACUCUGGACGCAAAGCCAUCAUUGUGAAGAACAUUGACAAUGGCACCUCAGACCACCAUUACAGCCAUGCCCUGGUGGCUGGAAGUGACAGUUGCCAUGGGCAAGAAGAAACAAAGAAGUUACAAACCUGUGAAAGUUUAUAACUACAACCACCUCAUGCCCACAAGGUUGUCUGUGGAUAUUUCCUUGGACAAGACUGCUGUCAACAAGAAAGUGAUCAGGAACCCAGCUUUGAAACGCAAGGCCAGGCGGAGGCCAAGGUCCAGUUUGAGGAGUGAUACAAGACACAGAAGAACAAAUGUUUUUUCCAGAAGCUUCGCUUUUAGGUAUAUUUUUGUUUUCAUCCAAAAAAAAAAAAAAAUACUGUCAGCCACAAAGGCAGACACCUCAUUCCUGCUGUAAGUAUUGAGUGUACCAUUGAGAAGAGAAAUGUCAACGUUU